rnacentral:misc_RNA from 1 species
GAUGAAGAACGUAGCGAAAUGCGAUAAGUAAUGUGAAUUGCAGAAUUCAGUGAAUCAUCGAAUCUUUGAACGCACAUUGCGCCCGUCAGUAUUCUGGCGGGCAUGCCUGUUCGAGCGUCAUUACGCCCCUCAAGUCCCCUGUGGACUUGGUGUUGGGGAUCGGCGAGGCUGGUUUUCCAGCACAGCCGUCCCUUAAAUUAAUUGGCGGUCUCGCCGUGGCCCUCCUCUGCGCAGUAGUAAACCACUCGCAACAGGAGCCCGGCGCGGUCCACUGCCGUAAAACCCCCCAACUUUUUAUAGUUGACCUCGAAUCAGGUAGGACUACCCGCUGAACUUAAGCAUAUCAAUAAGCGAGGA